rnacentral:rRNA from 1 species
UCCCAGUUCGGAUUGUAGUCUGCAACCCGACUACAUGAAGCUGGAAUCGCUAGUAAUCGCGGAUCAGAAUGCCGCGGUGAAUACGUUCCCGGGUCUUGUACACACCGCCCGUCACACCAUGGGAGUCGGAAAUGCCCGAAGUCUGUGACCUAACCGUAAGGGAGGAGCAGCCGAAGGCAGGUCGGAUGACUGGGGUGAAGUCGUAACAAGGUAGC